AUUGAACGCUGGCGGCAUGCCUUACACAUGCAAGUCGAACGGUAACGCGGGGCAACCUGGCGACGAGUGGCGAACGGGUGAGUAAUAUAUCGGAACGUGCCCAGUAGUGGGGGAUAGCCCGGCGAAAAGCCGGAUUAAUACCGCAUACGACCUACGGGUGAAAGCGGGGGAUCGCAAGACCUCGCGCUAUUGGAGCGGCCGAUAUCAGAUUAGGUAGUUGGUGGGGUAAAGGCCUACCAAGCCUACGAUCUGUAGCUGGUCUGAGAGGACGACCAGCCACACUGGGACUGAGACACGGCCCAGACUCCUACGGAGGCAGCAGUGGGGAAUUUUGGACAAUGGGCGCAAGCCUGAUCCAGCCAUGCCGCGUGCGGGAAGAAGGCC
rnacentral:rRNA from 1 species